rnacentral:rRNA from 1 species
AGUGAACGCUGGCGGUAGGCCUAACACAUGCAAGUCGAACGGCAGCACAGUAAGAGCUUGCUCUUACGGGUGGCGAGUGGCGGACGGGUGAGGAAUACAUCGGAAUCUACUUUUUCGUGGGGGAUAACGUAGGGAAACUUACGCUAAUACCGCAUACGAUCUACGGGUGAAAGCAGGGGAUCUUCGGACCUUUCGCGAUUGAAUGAGCCGAUGUCGGAUUAGCUAGUUGGCGGGGUAAAGGCCCACCAAGGCGACGAUCCGUAGCUGGUCUGAGAGGAUGAUCAGCCACACUGGAACUGAGACACGGUCCAGACUCCUACGGGAGGCAGCAGUGGGGAAUAUUGGACAAUGGGCGCAAGCCUGAUCCAGCCAUACCGCGUGAGUGAAGAAGGCCUUCGGGUUGUAAAGCCCUUUUGUUGGGAAAGAAAAGCAGCAGGUUAAUACCCCGCUGUUCUGACGGUACCCAAAGAAUAAGCACCGGCUAACUUCGUG